rnacentral:rRNA from 1 species
UACGAGGGGGGCAAGCGUUGUUCGGAAUUAUUGGGCGUAAAGGGCUCGUAGGCGGCCAACUAAGUCAGACGUGAAAUCCCCAGGCUCAACCUGGGAACUGCGUCUGAUACUGGAUGGCUUGAAUCCGGGAGAGGGAUGCAGAAUUCCAGGUGUAGCGGUGAAAUGCGUAGAUAUCUGGAGGAAUACCGGUGGCGAAGGCGGCAUCCUGGACCGGCAUUGACGCUGAGGAGCGAAAGCUAGGGGAGCAAACGGGG